ensembl:lncRNA
AUCUUCCUCACACUCUUUCUUCUGUCUCUCAUCCGCUCCCUACACUCCAGACAGGAAUUAAGUCCUUUUUUUCUUAUAAGGAGGCAGAGAAUGGACUUGUUUUUCAAGGUAAUCUCUUAGGCCUUUAAAAUGGUAUAUUAAUUGACCCUUGUGGAUCAUAAAACUCCCUCACCUACCUCAGUGCUCCGUACUGAGGUUAAAGCUCACACUGAUUACAAUUCAAAUUUUUUUUUACCCUUAACAGAGCUUUGCAUGGAAUAGGUACUAGAUAAAAAUCACAGGGUUGUUUACAACUUGUGACCAAAUUCUUAACUUUCUCCAAGCUGAGUGUUUACAAUCAGAUAUGCAUAGAGCUAGUAUAUGUUGCAGAGGGAGAGAAUACUCAAAUCAAAUGAGGCAAACCUUAGAGAUAUUGCAGGUUUAGUUCCAGACAACUGCAAUGUAGUGAAUAUCGCAAUAAAACAAGUCACAUGGAUAUUUUGCUUUCCUAGUGCAUAUAAAAGUUAUGUUGAUACUAUGCUGUACUCUCUUAAGUGUGAAAUAGUCUUAUGUCUAAAAAAGGUAUGUACCUUAAUUAAAAAAUACUUCCUUGCUAAAAAAUCCUAGCCAGCAUUUGACAACCUGGGAUUGCCACAAACCUUCCUUCUGUAAAAAAAACGAUGUGCAGCCCAAUAAAACAAAGCACAGUAAAACAAAGUAUGCCUUUUAAUGUUACCAUUAAAAAAAAUCAAUAUCUGAGACUUCGAAUAAAAAAAGGAAGUGUGUGACAUUUGCGAGCUCUGUCUUCCCAGGGACGCUAUUACCCAGACAGGGUCGGCUGAAUAUUUGUGGUGAUGUCAGUUUAUAGACACAGCCUGAGUCCAAGCAAAGCAUUUGGCUUGAUGAUUUUUUUGAGUGUACAAAAAGAAAAGACAAAGAGGUCAAGUCUGCUUUUAAUGAAAAGAAACAAAAAAGAGGGACAAGUCAACUGAAAGAAGAAUUCAAAAUUAAGAUGGGUCUUGAUAAAGGGGAGCCAGAUAAAUCUUUCCAAAGGUCUCGGAAAAUCCAGGGCCUCAAUCUAGAAAGAAACUGCUUACUGAGGCAGAACUGAGCGAGUGGACACAUCCGGAAUACAUUUUCAAGCAAGAGCCCCAAAUCAAAUAAUAUAAACGAGCUCGAGAAACAGCAGGACAUUUUAACAAAGAAAGUUGAGAUCACACGCUGCAGCGAUAAAGCUAGUAAAGGGAACUGAGAUAACCAGAUAAGAGCAGCUCUUGGGUCAAACCAUCCAUUCAUGCCCAGGUGCGUCUUUCUUUUUAUUCAGGGCUCAACUGUAGUUUGAAGGUGCCUUCAAAUGUAUAAAUGAGUCCCUUGGGUUUAACCAGCGCUUUGUGUUACCUGAAGCCCCUGAUUACGAUUAGGAAGGUUUCAUUCAUCCAGCCCUGUGCUGCUAGCUCACUGUAAGGAUGGUUCCUGCAACCAGGUGUAAAAAGAGCAUUCCCUCUGUACAGCCAUAUCCCCUGUACCUCAUUCUGGAAGCCAGCUAGGCAGGUCUCAGACCAAGCAGUAUGACACGUGGAAGUUUCUCACAACUCUGGCCAAAUGAAUCGUGUAAAAGAAAGGGGCAAUUUAAAGACCACCACCUACCCCCAAAGUCAGUGUGCCAGAAGCCCUCUGGCCAGUUACAUGACAUAUUUGUUAACACCAACACCAGACUGUAGUUCCCAGUGUUUGCCCUCAAGUUGUUAGUCAGCUGCUGACCUCAUAAUCUGCACAGCUGUAGCAUCCUGAUAUGUUGUCAUGCAACAGAUUGUGAUGUCCCAAUUGGUCACGCCCAGAGGUUACAGUUGUCAAGUGGAACCAGUAUGCUGAUUUUGUUUUGGUUUUUUUUUUUUUGCUUUUUGGGGCCACAUCCACAGCAUAUGGAGGUUCCCAGACUAGGGGUCCAAUUGGAGCUAUAGCUGCUGGCCUACGCCACAGCCACAGCAACAUCAGAUCCUAGCGGAGUUUGUGACCUACACCACAGCUCACAGCAAUGCCGGAUCAUUAACCCACUGAGCGAGGCCAGGGGUUGAACCCGCAACUUCAUGGUUCCUAGUUGGAUUUGUUUCCACUGCGCCACAACGGGAACUCCAGUAUCCUGAUUCUUAUUAAUUAAGCCUUUAACGACUAGUUCCCUUUAACGAUUUGGAAAUCCACUGCAAAAUGCUGCAUGUUACAGAUUUGAAUACAUCCAAGACUUUUUCUUUAUAUAUUUUUUUUCUUUUUGAUUGUUUAAAAUUUGUGGAGGCUGUACCCCCAAAAUAGUUUUUAUUAUACUGUGAAGUAAUGUCUUGGAACAGUAAUUGGAACCUAACCUCCCUGUGUCUUGUGCAUCUAUCUCACUGAUAAGUUGAAGUGUGCCACAUGACAGGCACAAUUUAAAUCGGGCAUUGAUUUGCAUGACUAAGUAAGCUUGGAGGACUCAGCUAAGUGUCAUGGAUGUCAGGCCUUGCUGCAAAUUGCCUGGCAGGAAGAAAAUUGUUUUCUUCCUUAUCAUCCCAAAAGAUUGUAAACUCCUAGGUGCAUGAGGAAGGGUCAGGUCAAUGCCUGAUUCUAAGAGGAUUCCCUUGUGCCUCCUUUUGCCUGUUGGUGAAGUCUUUGCUACGGCAUCAACCUCCAGAAUCCUAUUUCCAAUUGCCCUAAUAUACUCAACUUACCUUGAGAGGACUUGUUCUAACCUGGUGCCUGGAUCACCUGCUGCUCACCUUAGAUCAGAAAUCUUACUGUAGCAGGAGUGAUGGACAGUCCCUUUCAUAGCAGAGUUUUAAGACACUUCACAAAUGGACCUUUGUGGCUGUAUAAGAAAACUUCUUUGAAAUUCUUUAUUUUGACAUCUCAAAUAGAUACACUCAUCAGUCUAGCAUACAGUGUAUGAUAAAAACUAAAUCAAAGAAAUGAAGUUAAAUUAAUGUGGUAAUUGUUAGCAUCCCCAAGGUUGUUCAUCAAAGCAAUUUUUUAUAGUAGAACAAAAUCAGAUAUUAGCUAAAUGCCCAGCAAUAGGCAGAUGGGUACAUUAUGGUAUGGCCAUAGAAUGGAAUAUUGUGCAGGCAUUAAAAAGGUCUCUAAGGACUAUUUACUGACAUGGGAAAGUUUAAUGAUGUGAAAACCAAGGCUGCCAAAUUGUAUAAAUGGUAUUUCUCAUUGUGUCUAGAAGGAAGAAAAUGCUACAGAAUAUUGUAGCUGGUGUUGAGUGGUAGAGUUUCAAUUUUUUGUAUUAUUUAAGUUUUUCACAACAAACCCAUAUUACUUUAAUUAUCAGGAAACAUUAAGAGAAAGCGUGAUGAGUUUUAUGAUAACAUUUGCUGCAGGAGUCUGUGUUCAAUGCAUCUCAAAUCCAAUAGGUGUGAAAAUGAGCUCCUGUCUUCCUCCGUUGGUCCUGUUCCACCAGAAUCCUUCUUCUUCCCAAUCAAAGGCAGUUUCAGGCCUCCAAAUGCCUAGGCUAAAAAUAGGAAGUUAUCCUCAACUCCACUCUUUCUCUCAGAUCCCACCCUCCAUCUUCUGGUCAACCCAGCAGGCUUUACCUUCAGAAAAUAUUCAGCAUGAGACCAGCUUCUUGCCACCUCCUCUACUACCUGACCUGGUCCAGGCCUCCAUCCUCUCUUGCUGGGAUUGUGGCAAUAGCCUGUUCUCACUAUUUCUACCCUUCCCUUCUUUGUGUCAGUUUUCACUCAGCAGCAAUAGCUGUUCAAGUGUAAAUGGGCCAUUCAUUCCCUGCCACAAGCCCUCCAACAGCCCCUAAGUAAAAGGCCCUCAGUGAUGCCACCACUUCGACCCCUCCUGCCCCAGCACUCCCUGCUCUCCUAAUGCUCAGCCAGGCCUCGCUGCUCUCCUUUUGUUCCUCUUCUACUCUUGGAGUAUUUGCAGUGCCUUUUGCUUUUGCUUCACAGGACUCCCCGCGCCCCCCCGCCCCCAAUCCUAUGGUCAGCCCUCUUACUCGAUUCAACUCUUUCCUCAAAUAUCAUUUCUUCAAAAGACCUUUUCUGAUCACUCCACCAACAUGCACACAUGCAUCCUUACUUCCCUGCUUUAAUUUUCCCCAUUCAGCACUUACCUCCAUCUAACAUUUUUAUGCUGUGCCCCUUUGCCUGUUGCCUUUCUCCCCUCACUUGAAUGUCAGCUCUGUGAGGGCAGGUGUAUUUGUUGAAAAUUUUCACAGGCCCUAGAGCAGUGCUUAGCAUAUAGUAGUUACUCAAAUAACUGCUGUUUGUAGGGAAGAUGAUCUGUUGUUACAGUUGUGUGAUAGUUUUCCUGGUGACUUUUCUGAGGCUUUUUGCCAGUCAGUUCACCCACGUAGAUUGAACCUGUUGUGUGCUGAUUAUGUUUCUUCUGGAUUGCUUUUCUGUUUUCAAUGAAAUCAACAAUUCUAGAAAUUCUAGAUGAAUUGGAAAAGUCUAUUCUUUCCCUAAUAUUAAGUUCAGUGUUCAGGGCCCUAAUAAAUUAUUUUAAUGAAAUGGCUUUUGUUUCCUAGCUUAACCACUAUAUAUUAAGCUACUGUAGUAUUCUAGGGACUCAUGGGGAGUGGAGUUAAAAUGAAGAAGGUGAACAUUGACUCUGCUCUUACAGAGCUUACUGUCUAGAAGAAAGACAUAACAAUAAAUUAAAGUGCAACACAACUGAUACCCAGUGUAGAAGGAGCCAGUGAUCAAUGGGCACCAAAAAAAUCCAGAUCAAAUGUCAAAUAGAGAUGAAUGGAUUAAGAUGUGGUAUAUGUACACAAUGGACUACUGCUCAGCCAUUAAAAAGAACAAAAUAAUGUCAUUUCAAGCAAUAUGGAUGGAACUAGAGACUGUCAUACUAAGUGAAGUAAGUCAGAAAGAGAAAAAAUACUAUAUGAUCUCCCUUAUAUCUGGAAUCUAAUAUACAACUCAAAUGAAACUUUCUACAGAAAAGAAAAUCAUGGACUUGGAGAACAGACUUGUGGUUGCCAAGGGGGAGGGAGAGGGAGUGGGAUGGCCUGGGAAUUUGGGGUUAAUAGAUGCAAACGUGCAUUUGGAGUGGAUAAGCAAUGAGAUUCUAUUGUACAGCACUGGGAACCAUGUCUAGUCACUUAAGAUGGAGCAUGAUACUGUGAGGAAAAAGAAUGUAUACAUGUAUGUGUGACUGGGUCACCUUGCUGUACAGUAGAAAAUUGGCAGAACACUGUAAACCAACUAUAAUGGAAAAAAUAAAAA